rnacentral:rRNA from 1 species
AACGAACGCUGGCGGCAGGCUUAACACAUGCAAGUCGAGCGCCCCGCGAGGGGUGCGGCCGCCGGGUGAGUAACGCGUGGGAACGUACCUUUUGGUUCGGAACAACUCCGGGAAACUGGAGCUAAUACCGGAUAAGCCCUAACGGGGAAAGAUUUAUCGCCGAAAGAUCGGCCCGCGUCUGAUUAGCUAGUUGGUGAGUUAACGGCUCACCAAGGCGACGAUCAGUAGCUGGUCUGAGAGGAUGAUCAGCCACACUGGGACUGAGACACGGCCCAGACUCCUACGGGAGGCAGGAGGGGGGAAUACUGGACAAGGCGCGCAAGCCUGAUCCAGCCAUGCCGCGUGAGUGAUGAAGGCAUUAGGGGUGUAAAGCUCUUUUGUCCGGGAAGAUAAUGACUGUACCGGAAGAAUAAGCCCCGGCUAACUUCGUG